UCUGGCCAUGAAUCUGAGAAUACGUUUGAUGAUAUAUCUCAGAAUGAAUAUGCUCAUACAUCUAAGAAUGAAUCUGAGGAUGAAUUUGAGAAUUCCCCAGUUGGCGCAACACACACUUGUCGUUUAGAAUGUAAAUUGACUGAUCAAAUUGGAGAGGUAGAUUUUCUUGCAUUUGGACCAACCCUUUGUGAAUGCUACGUUAAUGGUGGUCCAUCCAAGCAAGUGUGGAUCAGUUAUUAUCCAAAGGUUGCACUUAAAAAGAAGUACUUCUCCAAUGAAUGGAGUCACUUGAUUGCUUCAUUUAAAGGCUAUCACAAUGGUACACCUCUAAAGGUGAAAGAAUGUGGAGUCUAUCUUAUAUAUGCUUGAUCUGAUCAACAUUAUAAUCUUCUUGCUGAAAGCCUUGAUGAUGCAGGAUCAAUUGUAGUUGAAAGUGAUAGCUUUGAUGUAGGUCAGCAACCAUGCCUUGAAGAUUGAGAAGAUCCACCAAUGACCAUGGUUAAGCUUCUGCUCCUGAAAAGUUCUCUCUGAAUACUUCAAGACUUACUGGAUGCAAAAUGCUUAGGAGUCUUCCAAGUAGCAUUUGUGAGUUGAAAUGUCUUGAACAUCAAGUGUUCUGGCUGUUCAAACCUAGAGAGGUUUCCAGAAAUUACAGGGAAGAUGGAAAUUUUGAAAGAGCUUCAUUUGGAUGAGACAACUAUAAAAGAGCUACCUUCAUCAAUUGGACAUCUGACAGUGCUUGAAGUUUUGAAUUUGGCACAUUGCAAAAGCCUUAGCCUUGAAGGUUUUCCUGGUAGUAUUAGUAAGUUGCAACACCUCAAAAGUCUCUGUUACACUCGCUGUUGAAACCUAAAGAGGUUUCCAGAAAUUACAGGGAAGAUGGAAAUUUUGAAAUAGCUUUAUUUGGAUAAGACAACUAUAGAAGAGUUACAUGCAUCAAUUGAUAUCUGGAAGGACAGUGAUUUCGGUUCUCAUGGGACUCUUGGUAUCAAACGCCAUUCAAAACGCAAACCUCUAUUCCUUAAGAAUACAACGAGCAAUCUGGGGUGAUUUGUCUAAGAUUCCUCAGUUUGAGCCUCUGCAAGAGGCUUCAAAUCCUCCCAGAGCUUCCAUCAAGUAGAAACUGUGUAGAUGCACACCACUGCAUCUGCCUGAAGACUUUGUCGAUUCCAUCAUUGUCACCAUGGAGGAGGCAGUCGCGGCCUUCUGUUUUCAAUAACUUCAAAUGGGAAAUUCAGAUAUGAUUUUCAUGGAACACAACUAUUACUCUAGACAUGUGAUUUACAUGGUACUUUUUUGCAGGAGUUGGAAUCAAGGAGCUAUUUGUCUUGUCCAGAGAACGAUCCAUUUUCCAAUGUCACCAGGGGAUUUAAUAUUCUGACUUCUGGAAGUCGAGCAAUUCUGAAGUGGUUCGGUUAUCAGAAAGGAAGUGCAGUAACAAUAGAGCUUCCUAUGAAUUGGUACAAGGAUAAGGGGUUUCUAGGAUUUGCUUUAUGUACGGUCUAUGUUCAACUAGAUGCUGAAUCUUGCCAUGAAUUUGAGAAGCAAUCUGAGAAUAAGUUUAAUGAUAAAUCUCAGAAGGAAUAUGCUCAUUCACCUAAGAAUGAAUCUGAUGAUGAAUUUGAGAGUUCCCCAAUUGAUGCAACAUACGCUUAUCGUUUAGAAUGUAAAUUGACUGAUCAAAUUGGAGGGGUAGAUUUUCUUGCAUUUGCACCACCCCUUUGUGAAUGCUACUUUAAUGGUGGUUCAUCCAAGCAAGUGUGGAUAAGGUAUUAUCCAAAGGUUGCGCUUAAAAAGAAGUACCUCUCCAAUGAAUGGGGUCACUUGACUGCUUCAUUUAAAGGCUAUCACAGUGGAAUACCUCUAAAGGUGAAACAAUGUGGAGUUCAUCUUAUAUAUGCUUGAUCUGAUCAACAUGAUAAUCUUCUUGCCGAAAGCCUUGAUCAUGAAGGACCAAUUGGAGUUGAAAGUGAUAGCUUUGAGGUAGGUCAGCAACCAUGCCUUGAAGGUUGAGAAGAUCCACCAAUGACCAUGGUUAAGCUUCUGCUCCUGAAAAGUUCUCUCUGAAUACUUCAAGACUUAUUGGCAAAUUGCAGAAUCCUAUUCAUCGAGCCUUGGAUUUGAAAAUCUCAGUACGUCGAGGUGGAUGGCCCAACACUGAACUGAUCCUAACUGAUCAAGGCAGGUCGCUCAUUACAAGUUCAGUUCUAAUUUUGAGUUAAGCUUUCGGGUUCCAUUCAACUUGGUUUUCCACCAAUUUUUCAGACUCAGAGACUGGUCAAGUCCCCAAGCAAGGAUGUACGAUCAUGUUUGUUUAGAUCAUGCUUUGGAAUGUGUUUAGAUAAGGUAUUAAUUUCAUGCAUAAUAUAUGUGGGAUCCCCACGUCUGUCUCGCAUGAAUCCCUUUCCCCGUCUAGACUACAGAUGGCCAAAAUGUUAUGGGGACAUCAUUCAAGCAAUGAAUACUGGCAGUAAAUACUGAA